rnacentral:rRNA from 1 species
GAUGAACGCUGGCGGCGUGCCUAAUACAUGCAAGUCGAGCGAACAGACGAGGCGCUUGCUCCUCUGACGUUAGCGGCGGACGGGUGAGUAACACGUGGAUAACCUACCUAUCAGAGUGGGAUAACUUCGGGAAACCGGAGCUAAUACCGGAUAAUAUAUUGAACCGCAGGGUUCAAUAGUGAAAGACGGCUUUGCUGUCACUUCUAGAUGGAUCCGCCCUGCAUUAGCUAGUUGGUAAGCUAACGGCUUACCAAGGCAACGAUGCGUUGCCGACCUGAGGGGGGGGUCGCCCACACUGGAACGUGGCCACGGUCCUGGCUCCUGCGGUACGCAGCAGUAGGGAAUCUGCCGCAAUGGGCGAAAGCCUUACGCAGCAACGCCGCGUGAGUGAUGAAGGCCUUCGGAGCGUAAAACUGUGUUAUGAGUGAAGAACAAAUGUGGAAGUAACUAUGCACGUCUUGACGGUACCUAGUCAGAAAGCCACGGCUAACUACGUG